rnacentral:rRNA from 1 species
GAUGAACGCUGGCGGCGUGCCUAAUACAUGCAAGUCGAGCGAACAGACGAGGAGCUUGCUCCUCUGACGUUAGCGGCGGACGGGUGAGUAACACGUGGAUAACCUACCUAUAAGACUGGGAUAACUUCGGGAAACCGGAGCUAAUACCGGAUAAUAUAUUGAACCGCAUGGUUCAAUAGUGAAAGACGGUUUUGCUGUCACUUAUAGAUGGAUCCGCGCCGCAUUAGCUAGUUGGUAAGGUAACGGCUUACCAAGGCAACGAUGCGUAGCCGACCUGAGAGGGUGAUCGGCCACACUGGAACUGAGACACGGUCCAGACUCCUACGGGAGGCAGCAAUAGGGAAUCUUCCGCAAUGGGCGAAAGCUUGACGGAGCAACGCCGCGUGAGUGAUGAAGGUCUUCGGAUCGUAAAACUCUGUUAUUAGGGAAGAACAAAUGUGUAAGUAACUAUGCACGUCUUGACGGUACCUAAUCAGAAAGCCACGGCUAACUACGUG